UGUACAGACAACUGCUUUAAAUAUCAAGGUUUGGGAGUCAGUUUGGCGCUCGGUCCCCUCUGUGCUCUGUCAAAAGAAUUAUGCCUUCAACACUGAAGAUCUCCCCCUUGAAGUGACUGUGUCUCUAAUAGGACUGUCCCAACUUCAGAGAGUACUGUUCGGAGGUGGGCAGAGUGGAAAGAAUGUGCUUGACCCGGCCGUGACACAAGUGUUUCAUCAGCUUCAAGAAAUAGCUAAGCCGGCAGAGGGAAAGGAGGUCGUCCUUGACGUCCUUGACAAACCGUCCUGGGUGGUCACUUCGAGACUCGUUGUAACUCAGCAAUAUAGCGAGGAACCAAGCCCCAACGAGGUCCGAAUUGGAAUACUUUCUUGAGUUUAUUUGGAGAAAACGUAACGGCAACUCUAUUCUAGAAAGACCUAUUUCUCUUGUCUUCUGACCCACUCUCAGCUUUCUUCCCUACUUGGAAGGAACAAGUGGAGUGAAGUACAAGAAACCCAGCCUGGACCCUGCUCGGAACCGGGGAGGUCCUGCUGUAGAAUCCCAUUUAGUUCCUAGAACUACGCUCUUGGAUCUCUGCCUGAAGGUGGUUUUGCUCAGUAAUGACUGAGCUAUGGACACGGAAACAUGCUGAGGUGUCCAGUCUUUGUUCAUUACUCUAAUUGGUGAGACCUCUCUGUACCACCUUGUAACUGAACUCAGCAUGUUUACUGAUAGGAAUUCUAACCACACUCCCAUGACUGCCUAGUCAUUUCCAGGGCCAUAUGUCCUGCAUAAUCUGCACGCUGAGAGGUCAGUAAUUUGCACGCAGCAUGGUCACGUAAUCUACAUGCAUGGCGUAGCCACGUGGGCCCAUAUGUGCAUGCAUGGGGGUAGCCCAUAAAAGGCCGAUCCCAUGUACCCUCCCCUCUCUCUGCACAUGUCUUUCCAACAGGCCUGAUUACAUUCUUUCCUGUGCCCCCAUUUUCCUAAUAAAACUCUCAUAAGUGG